GACGAACGCUGGCGGCGUGCUUAACACAUGCAAGUCGAACGAUGAAGCCCAGCUUGCUGGGUGGAUUAGUGGCGAACGGGUGAGUAACACGUGAGUAACCUGCCCUGGACUCUGGGAUAACCCCGAGAAAUCGGAGCUAAUACCGGAUAGGACCUUGGAUCGCAUGAUUCUUGGUGGAAAGUUUUUCGGUUUGGGAUGGACUCGCGGCCUAUCAGCUUGUUGGUGAGGUAAUGGCUCACCAAGGCGUCGACGGGUAGCCGGCCUGAGAGGGUGACCGGCCACACUGGGACUGAGACACGGACCAGACUCCUACAGGAGGCAGCAGUGGGGAAUAUUGCACAAUGGGCGCAAGCCUGAUGCAGCAACGCCGCGUGCGGGAUGACGGCCUUCGGGUUGUAAACCGCUUUUAGUAAGGAAGAAGGGGCUUCGGCCUUGACGGUACUUGCAGAAAAAGGACCGGCUAACUACGUGCCAGCCGCCGCAGUAAAAC
rnacentral:rRNA from 1 species